CUGUGGAGCAGCAGUUUUCAAAUUUCUUCAAUUGGCUUCUUAAGUGUAUAAAGCUUCUUAUGCAAGAACCAAGUGAUCAGCUUCUGCCAUAUAACAGUGAACUUGUUGUCACAUUCUUGAAGUUCUUAUAUGAUCAAGAUCCAGUUAGGCAGUUUCUGGAACUUUCUGAAGUUCAUAAUAUUGAAGUAGGCUCGGAAACAAUGCAAAGAGUCAAAGAAUUAGUUCAUUUUGGAGGAUUUUCAGAUAUUGAAUAUCUGCGAAGGACAUUAGCUAAAGAAUUUCAAGAAAUGGAGUACAGCUUCAAGGAGGCUUUUCAGAUGCCCUUCACGACAAUCUCAAGAAAAAUCCUCUGUGAGGAUUUGCUGCCACUGUUUCCACUUCCAUCUUCAUCAGCAUCUAUGUCCAUGACAAUUCCUAUGUCAAUAUCAUACUAUGAGGAAGUCUCCCAAAUAGUUUCAUCUUAUAAGACUGGUCAACAUGGCCUUGUUGAUUACACAUGCUUCCAAGUACCAAAAGAACCUUCUUCAAAUAUUUCAAAUUGUAUAGGCAUAAUGAGAGGAUUUAUGUGUGACUCAAGAAGUUCAAAGAACAGCC
rnacentral:misc_RNA from 1 species